UUUAGAUCCUGGCUCAGGAUGAACGCUAGCGACAGGCUUAACACAUGCAAGUCGAGGGGCAGCGGGGAUGAAGCUUGCUUCAUCCGCCGGCGACCGGCGCACGGGUGAGUAACACGUAUGCAACCUGCCCCUGGCUGGGGGAUAAGCCGGAGAAAUCCGGUCUAAUACCGCGUAACAUCCUUACGGGACAUCCCGUUAGGAUCAAAGGAAGCGAUUCCGGCCAGGGAUGGGCAUGCGGCGCAUUAGCUAGUCGGCGGGGUAACGGCCCACCGAGGCGACGAUGCGUAGGGGUUCUGAGAGGAAGGUCCCCCACACUGGUACUGAGACACGGACCAGACUCCUACGGGAGGCAGCAGUGAGGAAUAUUGGUCAAUGGGCGCGAGCCUGAACCAGCCAAGUCGCGUGAGGGAAGACGGUCCUAUGGAUUGUAAACCUCUUUUGCCGGGGAGCAAGCUGGGUCACGUGUGACCCAGCUGAGAGUACCCGGAGAAAAAAGCAUCGGCUAACUCCGUG
rnacentral:rRNA from 1 species